rnacentral:rRNA from 1 species
UAACACAUGCAAGUCGAACGAUGAUCCCAGCUUGCUGGGGGAUUAGUGGCGAACGGGUGAGUAACACGUGAGUAACCUGCCCUUGACUCUGGGAUAAGCCUGGGAAACUGGGUCUAAUACCGGAUACGACCAUCUGGCGCAUGUCAUGGUGGUGGAAAGCUUUUGUGGUUUUGGAUGGACUCGCGGCCUAUCAGCUUGUUGGUGGGGUAAUGGCCUACCAAGGCGACGACGGGUAGCCGGCCUGAGAGGGUGACCGGCCACACUGGGACUGAGACACGGCCCAGACUCCUACGGGAGGCAGCAGUGGGGAAUAUUGCACAAUGGGCGCAAGCCUGAUGCAGCGACGCCGCGUGAGGGAUGACGGCCUUCGGGUUGUAAACCUCUUUCAGUAGGGAAGAAGCGAAAGUGACGGUACCUGCAGAAGAAGCGCCGGCUAACUACGUGCCAGCAGCCGCGGUAAUACGUAGGGCGCAAGCGUUAUCCGGAAUUAUUGGGCGUAAAGAGCUCGUAGGCGGUUUGUCGCGUCUGCUGUGAAAGACCGGGGCUCAACUCCGGUUCUGCAGUGGGUACGGGCAGACUAGAGUGCAGUAGGGGAGACUGGAAUUCCUGGUGUAGCGGUGAAAUGCGCAGAUAUCAGGAGGAACACCGAUGGCGAAGGCAGGUCUCUGGGCUGUAACUGACGCUGAGGAGCGAAAGCAUGGGGAGCGAACAUGAUUAGAUACCCUGGUAGUCCAUGCCGUAAACGUUGGGCACUAGGUGUGGGGGACAUUCCACGUUUUCCGCGCCGUAGCUAACGCAUUAAGUGCCCCGCCUGGGGAGUAC